rnacentral:rRNA from 1 species
UCUCGAAGAUUAAGCCAUGCAUGUGUAAGUACAUCUCCAUUUAGGAGUGAAACCGCGAAUGGCUCAUUAAACCAGUCUUAACCUAAACGAUAUUUACUUGUUAUAUGGAUAACUGUGGUAAUUCUAGAGCUAAUACAUGCACCAAAAGUUCCAACUGGGACGUGUUAGCCUAAAAACUUGCACGCCAUCGGAAGGAAUGCGUUUAUUAGACCAAGACUAAUAUUAAAGUUAAGGUGACUCUGGAUAAAUAGCACUGAAAAGUGUGAUGCUGACCACUAACUUCCCUGUGAAGGGUGGCAAAUCGUUAGGGAGUCUGCUCUAUCAACUGUGGAUGGUAGGGUCAUUGCCUACCAUGGUGGUUACGGGUAACGGGGAGUCAGGGCUCGACUCCGGAGAGCMAGCCUGAGAAACGGCUAGCACAUCCAAGGAAGGCAGCAGGCGCGAAAAUUAUACAAUGAGGGUUUCCUCGAUAUAGUGAAGAAAAAUAACUACCCUAGAUGUUAAUAUAUGUUUAGGGAUGGGAAUGAUUCGAGUGUAAAUAACUCAGAAGAGUACCGAUUAGAGGGCAAGUCUGGUGCCAGCAGCCGCGGUAAUUCCAGCUCUAAUAGCGUAUAUUAAAGUUGUUGCGGUUAAAAAGCUCGUAGUUGGACUUACGCGUAACUUAUUGUUCACAGUGUCGGACCCUUUAGUUGGUCCGUACUUGUGCUAAGUUACAGUUUUGUCACUUAUAGCAAGUGCAAAGCACGCUGUAUUGGAUAGAUGCAUAUGUCUAACCCUAAAAAGUUAGCUUAUGUUAUCGCUGGUGCAGCAUGUUUACCUUGAGAAAAUUGGAGUGCUCAAAGCAGGCAGCGUUAGCCGUAAGGUUAACACCAACGCCUGAACAAUGUUGCAUGGAAUAAUAGAAUACGGCCUCGGUCCUAUUCUGUUGGUCUUGAAGGAUGACACAACAGCUGUAUUUAGUUUAUGGAUCAGUAAUAAUGUUUACCUUAAAAAGUUACAUUAUCUACCAUUAAAUUAAAUGCAGUAGAGGCAAUGGUUAAGAGGGACAGGCGGGGGCAUUGGUACUGCUUCGCUAGAGGUGAAAUUCUUAGACCGAAGCAAGACUAACAAAAGCGAAAGCAUUUGCCUAGGAUGUUUUCAUUAAUCAAGAACGAAAGUUAGAGGUUCGAAGGCGAUCAGAUACCGCCCUAGUUCUAACCAUAAACGAUGCCAACAAGCAAUCGGGCCUAGCUUUUUACUAUCUUAGUAUAGUUUGAUGGCUGGCUCGGGUGCCCAUUAAACGGGGAAACCUCAAGUCGGGUUCCGGGGGAAGUAUGAUUGCAAAGUUGAAACUUAAAGGAAUUGACGGAAGGGCACCACCAGGAGUGGAGCCUGCGGCUUAAUUUGACUCAACACGGGGCAACUCACUAGAUUAGAACUUUGUUAUGAUGGUCAGGUUGGUAGUGGCUUAUGUAUAUAUGGCAACAUGUGUGCACUAAGCUACUUUUGGGCCUUACUUGAUUCAAAGAGUGGUGGUGCAUGGCCGUUCUUGAUUCGUAGAAUGAUUCGUCUGCUUAAUUGCGAUAACGAGUGAGACCUCAAGCGGUAAGCUAGGUUCCAAGAGCUUAGUUUCAUAACCUUGCAUGUAUUGCUAGGCGGUAGGGGUAACUUUAUCGUUUAGUUAAUAUGUGUUAGGCCGUUACUUAUCUCUUGGAGACUCCCUUGCCUGAUAAGCGGUGUUUUAGCCGUAAUAGACGAGGCAAUAACAGGUCUGUGAUGCCCUUAGAUACUCUAGGCUGCACGCGUGCUACACUGGUUAGCAAAGCGAGUUUAACGCUGUUCUUUGUUUAAUUGAUAUUGUAGGGAGGGGCAACCUGAACUAUAGUACCUUUUAAACAAGAGCCGUUAGCAAACCCGAGAGGGUGAGCAAAUCUUGUUAAAGCUAGCCGUGACUUGGGAUUGGGGUUUGUAAUUGUGGCCCAUGAACGAGGAAUUCCCAGUAAGCGCGAGUAAGAAUCUGGCGCUGAUUACGUCCCUGCCCUUUGUACACACCGCCCGUCGCUACUACCGAUUGAGGAGUUGAGUGAGGACAUCGGACUGUGCGAUUGAGCGAACUUUUCAAGCUUGUUCGAUUGUGUGGGAAGAUGUUCGAACUUGAGUUCUUAGAGGAAGUAAAAGUCGUAA